rnacentral:rRNA from 1 species
UACGAAGGGGGCUAGCGUUGCUCGGAAUCACUGGGCGUAAAGCGCACGUAGGCGGACUCUUAAGUCAGGGGUGAAAUCCUGGAGCUCAACUCCAGAACUGCCUUUGAUACUGGGAGUCUUGAGUUCGGGAGAGGUGAGUGGAACUGGCGAGUGUAGAGGUGAAAUUCGUAGAUAUUCGCAAGAACACCAGUGGCGAAGGCGGCUCACUGGCCC